rnacentral:rRNA from 1 species
GGAGGGCGCAAGCGUUGUUCGGAAUCAUUGGGCGUAAAGCGCGUGUAGGCGGCUUGGCAAGUCGGACGUGAAAGCCCGGGGCUCAACCCCGGAACUGCGCUCGAAACUGCCUCGCUAGAGUCCCGGAGAGGAGGGCGGAAUUCCCGGUGUAGAGGUGAAAUUCGUAGAUAUCGGGAGGAACACCAGCGGCGGAGGCGGCCCUCUGGACGGUGACUGACGCUCAGACGCGAAAGCGUGGGGAGCAAACAGGAUUAGAUACCCUGGUAGUCCACGCCGUAAACGUUGGUGCUAGGUGUCGCGGGUAUUGACCCCCCUGCGGUGCCGCCGUUAACGCAUUUAGCACCCCGCCUGGGAGUACGGUCGCAAGGCUA